GCCCAGACUCCUACGGGAGGCAGCAGUGGGGAAUAUUGCACAAUGGGGGGAAACCCUGAUGCAGCGACGCCGCGUGUGGGAAGACGGUCUUCUGGAUUGCAAACCACUGUCCCCAGGGACGAAAAUGACGGUACCUGACUAAGAAGCCCCGGCUAACUACGUGCCAGCCGCCGCGGUAAUACGUAGGGGGCAAGCGUUAUCCGGAUUUACUGGGUGUAAAGGGAGCGUAGGCGGCAAGGCAAGUCUGAUGUGAAAACCCAGGGCCCAACCCUGGGACUGCAUUGGAAACUGUAUUGCUUGAGUACCGGAGAGGCAGGCGGAAUUCCUAGUGUAGCGGUGAAAUGCGUAGAUAUUAGGAGGAACACCAGUGGCGAAGGCGGCCUGCUGGACUGCAACUGACGUUGAGGCCCGAAAGCGUGGGGAGCAAACAGGAUUAGAUACCCCCGUAC
rnacentral:rRNA from 1 species